AAAUGAAUAGACGGGGACCCGCACAAGCAGUGGAUUAUGUGGUUUAAUUCGAAGCAACGCGAAGAACCUUACCAGGGCUUGACAUCCCGCUAACGAAGUAGAGAUACAUUAGGUGCCCUUCGGGGAAAGCGGAGACAGGUGGUGCAUGGUUGUCGUCAGCUCGUGUCGUGAGAUGUUGGGUUAAGUCCCGCAACGAGCGCAACCCUUAUUGUUAGUUGCUACGCAAGAGCACUCUAGCGAGACUGCCGUUGAUAAAACGGAGGAAGGUGGGGAUGACGUCAAAUCAUCAUGCCCUUUAUGUCCUGGGCUACACACGUAAUACAAUGGUGGCCAUACAGAGGGAUGCAAAGCCGCGAGGCAGAGCGAAACCCUAAAAGCCAUCUCAGUUCAGAUUGCAGGCUGCAACUCGCCUGCAUGAAGUUGGAAUUGCUAGUAAUCGCGGAUCAGCAUGCCGCGGUGAAUACGUUCCCGGGUCUUGUACACACCGCCCGU
rnacentral:rRNA from 1 species